rnacentral:rRNA from 1 species
GACGAACGCUGGCGGCGUGCUUAACACAUGCAAGUCGAACGAAGUGGCGAACGGGUGAGUAACGCGUAAUCAACCUGCCCUUCAGAGGGGGACAACAGUUGGAAACGACUGCUAAUACCGCAUACUGAAGGAGGGGAUUGCGUGUGAUUAGCUAGUUGGAGGGGGAACGGCCCACCAAGGCGAUGAUCAGUAGCCGGGCUGGGAGGAUGAACGGCCAAAUUGGGAAUUGGGAACGGGCCAGACUCCUACGGGAGGCAGCAGUGGGGAAUCUUCCGCCAUGGAGGAAAGUCUGACGGAGCAACGCCGCGUGAGUGAGGAAGGCCUUCGGGUUGGAAAGCUCUGUUAAUCGGGACGCGGUACCGGAAUAGAAAGCCACGGCUAACUCCGUGCCAGCAGCCGCGGUAAUUC